rnacentral:rRNA from 1 species
GUGUCAGCCGCCGCGGUAAUACGUAGGGUGCAAGCGUUAAUCGGAAUUAUUGGGCGCAAAGCGAGUGCAGACGGUUACUUAAGCCAGAUGUGAAAUCCCCAAGCUUAACUUGGGACGUGCAUUUGGAACUGGGUAACUAGAGUGUGUCAGAGGGAGGUAGAAUUCCACAUGUAGCGGUGGAAUGCGUAGAGAUGUGGAGGAAUACCGAUGGCGAAGGCAGCCUCCUGGGAUAACACUGACGUUGAGGCUCGAAAGCGUGGGGAGCAAACAGGAUUAGAAACCCUUGUAGUCC